GGCUCCGCGCUGGAUUGGUGAUGCCUGGGAGUUGCGGCGCCUGCGCAGAGGGUAGGGCUGCGUUCACUGGGCCCGGCCGUGGGCGAUAACUCGGAGCGGGCCGGAGCGGGUGGUGGCUGUCCUGCCCCGACGGUCGCACCAUGGCGGAGGAGGAGCUGGAGGCUCUGCGGAAGCAGAGGCUGGCGGAGCUGCAGGCCAAGCACGGGGAUCCUGGAGAUGCAGCACAACAGGAAGCCAAGCACAGAGAAGCAGAAAUGAGAAACAGUAUCUUAGCUCAAGUUCUGGACCAGUCAGCCCGGGCCCGGUUAAGUAACUUAGCACUUGUAAAGCCUGAAAAAACUAAAGGAGUAGAGAAUUACCUUAUACAGAUGGCAAGAUAUGGACAACUAAAUGGGAAGGUAGCAUCUACCCUGAUGUUCAGGAAAUGCCUAGAAAAAGGACUGGCUUUGGAACAUGAGACAUGAAAGAAACUACCAGAGGUUGCUCCUCUCCAGUUGGUGAGUGGAGGAGGCCUGACCUUGAAGGUAAUGCGAAGAUUCAUCAUCUCAACCAACCAGAACACUAAUACAGAAAUAUCUGAUAAAUUAGGGUGUAACAUGUAUUUCUUCGGGCCUAUCUCCCCUCAGUCAGGAUUAUAAUUACAUUGUACAUUUACAAUGAAAUGAAAACCAGCAACUACUCAUGAACUUCCAAUAACCCAAGUUGAGAAUUAUAGAAAGAAGUUCUUACAUUUUUUCCUGAUCUUCACGGUAACGUACUCCUUGUGGUCUGUUUCGCCAACUUCAUCUAACGUGGCCACACAGCUUGGUACUACCUGAAGUAAUUCCAUUAUUUUUGAAUUCUAUAAUUUGAAAGGGAAAAAUUAACAGUAAUAUUUUUUUUAUUAUUUUCAACAGUUAAUUGCCUAUUUUUUAUAUAAAUGUCAGUAUUAGGAUAGCUGGACAGCAGAGCUAAGAAAAAGCAACUACAGAUGAAACUUUGAGGCCAUAGUGUAAAGCAGCCCUACACUCGAAGCCAGGCUCCGCCCUCUGCUAGGCACUCAGGGUGAGCACUUGGCUGCUCUGUGCAACUAGGCUGACAACAAUGGGAUCGAUAAUUUUAGUUAUCAAGAGGCUAUCCAAGGCCCAGCACAUAGUAAGUCCUCAAUAAAAACAUUCAUCAGAAUGUUUGAGAAAGUGCUCAACUAAAAAUUUAAAAUAUUCAAUACUGUUAAGAAAUGUCUGAAACUUAAAAUUCAUUGAAUAAGUCUAUGAGUAUGUUGGCUUUCUGUGACUUUAACAUGUCAGUAGUAUCAUUUAACAGCCUACUAGUUGUCUACCCAAGUGGGCGACUAGAUAAAGAUUCAACAUGAAAACAGGAACAGUAAACAUGGUAAACAUGGCGGCACUGGGAAUGGUCCCAGGCCAUCACAAUUGUCCUGCAGAAUUCAAGGACUUUUAAAGCCACCAACUGAACAAACUUCCUCCAUCGUGCUGUUAAGACCACAGGUGUAUUUCCAAUGCAGGGAGGGGGCGGCCAGAAUGCUGUCUAAACCUGCUACUUCUCUGGGAGGACCUGACUGCCCGUCAGGGGGCAGACUAGGGCUCAGACUGCGGCUGGGAGAGGAGCACCUCUCCUCAGGCCUUGGAAAACGACCCCUGAAGGACUGGCUCCUGGAUCCCGAGCAGCCCACUGUCCAGGUGGCAGGUUAACCAUAUUGGCAGACUUCUAGCAAUUCACAGGUCUGCCAUUUCAGAUCUGGUUUACACACAAGGCCUAUCCAAAGUGAGCGGGGAGGGGGUGCCGCCCGCUCACCUGCUCAGCGUAGUCCCUCGCGGUGCACUGCCUCUUGUUCAAGAGCUGGACCGACGCCCCGUGCAGCAGCAGCAGCUCCACGACCAGGACGUGCUUCUCCAGCACAGCCUCGUGCAGGGCUGUGUUGCCCUUGUUGUCAGAGGCGUUGAUGGAGGCCCCAUGCUGGAAAGAGGCAGCACAAUCAGAAGGGACGCCGAAGACGGUGCUGAUGCAGAACCUCGACGGGUGUUCACUCUAAGAUUCUUUCAACUUUUC